rnacentral:rRNA from 1 species
GACGAACGCUGGCGGCGUGCCUAAUACAUGCAAGUUGAGCGAUGAAGAUUGGUGCUUGCCCCAAUUUGGAGAGCAGCGAACGGGUGAGUAACGCGUGGGGAAUCUGCCUUUGAGCGGGGGACAACAUUUGGAAACGAAUGCUAAUACCGCAUAACAACUUUAAACAUAAGGUUUAAGUUUGAAAGAUGCAAUUGCAUCACUCAAAGAUGAUCCCGCGUUGUAUUAGCUAGAUGGUGAGGUAAAGGCCCACCAAGGCGAUGAUACAUAGCCGACCUGGGAGGGUGGUCGGCCACAUUGGGACUGAGACACGGCCCAAACCCCUACGGGAGGCAGCAGUAGGGAAUCUUCGGCCAUGGACGAAAGUCUGACCGCGCCCCGCCGGGUGAGUGAAGAAGGUUUUCGGAUCGGAAAACUCUGUUGGUAGAGAAGAACGUUGGUGAGAGUGGAAAGCUCAUCAAGUGACGGUAACUACCCAGAAAGGGACGGCUAACUACGUG